rnacentral:rRNA from 1 species
GAACGGGUGAGUAACCGUGGGUGAUCUGCCCUGCACUUUGGGAUAAGCCUGGGAAACUGGGUCUAAUACCGAAUAGGACCGCGCGCUUCAUGGUGUGUGGUGGAAAGCUUUUGCGGUGUGGGAUGGGCNNNCGGCCUAUCAGCUUGUUGGUGGGGUAAUGGCCUACCAAGGCGACGACGGGUAGCCGGCCUGAGAGGGUGACCGGCCACACUGGGACUGAGAUACGGCCCAGACUCCUACGGGAGGCAGCAGUGGGGAAUAUUGCACAAUGGGCGCAAGCCUGAUGCAGCGACGCCGCGUGAGGGAUGACGGCCUUCGGGUUGUAAACCUCUUUCAAUAGGGACGAAGCGCAAGUGACGGUACCUAUAGAAGAAGCACCGGCCAACUACGUGCCAGCAGCCGCGGUAAUACGUAGGGUGCGAGCGUUGUCCGGAAUUACUGGGCGUAAAGAGCUCGUAGGUGGUUUGUCGCGUUGUUCGUGAAAACUCACAGCUUAACUGUGGGCGUGCGGGCGAUACGGGCAGACUAGAGUACUGCAGGGGAGACUGGAAUUCCUGGUGUAGCGGUGGAAUGCGCAGAUAUCAGGAGGAACACCGGUGGCGAAGGCGGGUCUCUGGGCAGUAACUGACGCUGAGGAGCGAAAGCGUGGGGAGCGAACAGGAUUAGAUACCCUGGUAGUCCACGCCG